GAGAGAUUUAUGUUUUCAGUCAACUUUGAAAAACAUGGACCGAGAGGUGAGAUGUCAACUGAUUGGCAGGAUAAGAGAAGCAUCUAAAGAGAGAGCAGUCCUCCUGCAUCUGAAAAAAAAAAUACCCAGAUGGGCAGGGAAUUGCCAUUAGGUUAUCCAAGCAGGUGGCAAAGGGCAAUAAAAGGCCAAGACAGGCAAUCCAUCUCUACAGUGGAAUUGAAUGGUCACCACAGAUGAAUAUGUAUCCGGCCCAGAUUACUUUUGAAGAGGCAUGUGAUCCCUCUUGUGUGGUGUAUAGUUGCUUGGAUGGGGUCAUAGAGGAGGACACCAUUUCCAGGACCCUAAAAAGGCGAGGAAUUGAUGCUAUGCACAUGAAGAAUAGAGCAUCUGAGGAGAAGAGCAUGGUACUGGAGGAGAUGAAGAACAUUGUGGAGUACUUG